GACCAAGAGGGAGCCGAGUCGUCUGUCUUGUCCUUUCCCAACUCUUCCAAGUUCAAAACACUACCAUAUCAUGUACAGGAGUAGAGAACAUAGCAAGCAUCCCAGAUAGUUUUCUUUUAGUGUACAUCCCAAAUAGCAUAGCAGAUCACAACAUGGCGGCGGUAGAAUUCGGCCCUCACGAGAAGAUGACGCUCGACGCGGAGCUGCUGCAAGUGCUAACCGCCGGCGACAAGGUCUGCAUGGAGGAGAUACUGAGCAGACAAGACCAUGGUGCCGGCCACCGCCGCCAGCAAACAGCCGCCCAGGGCCACGUCGCGGUAAACGUCCAUGGCGCGGCACCGGGCCGCUUUCUUCUAGGCGUGGCGAGCAACGGGAACACGGCUUUGCACCUUGUCGCCAGCCGCGGUCACGUCGAGCUGGCGACGCUCCUCUGCGAGAGGGCGCCCUCGCUGGCCGCCGCGCGCAACAAGUGCCUCGACACGCCGCUGCACUGCGCGGCGAGGUUCGGGCACGCGGAUGUGGCGGCUGUCCUCCUGCCGAGGAUGCGGGACGGCGCGGCGGAGGAGGAGUCCGCGCUGCGCGCGAGGAACCAGUCGGGCGCAACCGCCUUGUACGAAGCCGUCCGGCACGGGCGUGCCGGUGUGGUGGAUCUGCUCAUGACGGAGGUUCCCGAUCUGGCCUCCGUUGACGGCGACGAGGGUGUCUCGCCGCUCUACCUGGCGGCGUCGACUGACUCGCUCCAGAUGGUCCGCGCGCUGCUACGCCCGUCAGAAAACGGAACACCCUCGCCGGCGUCGUUUUCUGGUCCGGAGGGACGGACUGCUUUGCAUGCUGCGGCGGCUAGUAGCAGAGAAAUGGCUGAAGCAAUACUGAGCUGGGGGCCAGAAGGUCCAACGUUGCUAACCAGGCUUGAUUCGUCAGGGAGCACGCCUCUCCAUUUUGCAGUACUGUAUGGACGGCUUGAUGUAGUUGUGCUAUUCCUUGAUGGCCAUGCUUCGCUCGGGCUGGCUAGCAUUUCUGAUGGCAACGGGUCAUUUCCUCUGCACAUUGCCGCUAUGGUGGGACGAGCUAGAAUCAUGGAGGAGCUCAUACACCGAAUCCCUGACUGCUAUGAGAUGGUUGAUGGUAAAGGAAGAAAUAUUCUGCACUGUGCUGUGGAGCAUUGUCGGGUAACCGUGGUUCGCCAUAUUUGCCGGAAUGACAUGUUCUCGAUGCUGUGGAAUGCUACGGAUUCUGGAGGGAACACUCCACUCCAUCUGGCUGCCAAUCAUGGAUAUCCGAAGAUUGUCAUUUUACUACUGGAGACGACAAGUGUGGAGAUAGGCAUUACCAACAACGAUGGGACUAACUGCUAUGGAUCUUGCUCACCGUGCAAUAGCACCCGGCCGGAUAUACUAUUUCCUGGUAUUUCAAACAAGUCUUGGAUGCUAUUGGGGAGCUCAGAGGAGAGAUGACCAAGGCACCAACUGGGCAAACUCCUAGCAAGAUUCACACGAGUCCAAGGUAGUAUCCGUAUUUCAAGGAUCCGUGUUUUAUGGUGCGCAAUUGUCUGUGGUGGUUGGGGGCACCGGUUACUUUAGAUGGAGUCCACCCCCUUUGUCUUCGUAACGUGUACGACAAACCCACUCGAGAAGAAGCAUCACAUGAACAAGACAUGAUGACAGAAAGUGGAAUAAUCGGGUCAGUGCUAAUCGCCACCAUGGCCUUUGGGGCAGCUUUCACAGUGCCGGGGGGGGUUCGUCGCCGACGACCAUGGGCAUGCAGGGACAGCAACGCUGGCGAGACGUUUCGCGUUCCGGGCAUUUGUGGUUUCAGACACCAUGGCCUUCCUCUGCUCCCUUACCGCGACCUGCUUUCUUAUAUACGGCGGUGCAAGAGAAAUUCCACGGGACCACCGUUACUUGUACAACUUGCUGGCGUCUGGGUUGGUGCCGGUGGGAGCUCAAUGUAUGAUUGCUGCGUUUGCUGCGUCUGGGUUGGUGCCGGUGGGAGCUCAAUGUAUGAUUGCUGCGUCUGGGUUCAGUCAACCGUUGGCUCAUUGUCCUCGUAUACACUUUGUCCAUAGCUUCACUGCUUCUCUGCUUCCCUGGCAUCUGGGCUCCGUUCCAUCUGGGGCUGGGGAAGGCCAUAUGGCGUCGAGCCGGAUGGAGGGGAUUUAUCAACAUACACGUGUUCCAAAGUCUUAGACGACCAUUGUUCGUUUUGCUCAUCUCUGCUACGUUCGUCGUGGCCAUCGUACUCAGUAUUGCUUUGCCAAAUUACUGAGUUGGCCUGUCUGUAAUCUGAAAGGUAUUCGUCUGAGUACUGUUCUCAGUCUGUAUGCACGGGCCAAUUCAUGGACGGUUCCUUUAGAGAGCUGCUAAAACUCAAUAUUAGUACAUGCGGCAAUGCUCAUCAGGGGCCACCACUUGCGAGUCAGUAAGGGGAUUCUGGUUAACUUUCGCAUUCGGAGAGCAGCCUUUCGGAAAGUUCAAGCUGAGCUCGCGUAUCAUUCUUCUAGCAUCAAUUGUGCACCGGGUAUUUUAUUGCCUUGCAGUCAACAGAACUCUUCUGGCUUACUACCUUACAUCAGAUCAGAAGAAUGGUGCCACUACGAGGUUUUGGGAGGGUACGUGGUUUGGGGAGACCCCCCUUGCACUUCAAUAUCCUACUUUGUACAACAUUGUGCGACGUAGAGAAGCCUACAUUGCAACUGUUCUACAAUCCACUCCCCUCAAUAUUAGAUUUCGGAGAACGCUAGUUGGAAAUCGUUGGGAGGCCUGGCUCCACCUUGUUAGACGUUUAAUGGAAGUCCGGCUGACCCAGCA